GCAAAGAAACAGAUAUUUCCUUCAAAGAGGCAGAUCAGCUAACAUCCCAGGCAUGACUGUCACAGUGCUUUGUACCUAGCAAGAACCUUGAUGGCAGAAUCGCAAUGUAGAUGCCCACCUUCCAAGUGGAGGAGAACCUAAUUACUUCUGUGCUGUUUACCUUGUAUUGGCUGCAAGUUCACUUCUGUGUGAUAUUUAAGGAAGAAGGGCCCACAAUCAUUCAGAAGACACAUGAGCUCAUUUGGCUACCCCUCGAUGGUAGCAAUACAAGGAUCUGUGAUGCUUAUGAGACUACAGGUGUGGAUAUGGAGAAAUUUGUUAUGUGAAGAUAAGCUGCACAUGCCAUUCACUGUUGGCAAAUGUAAAGUAACAAGCUUAACCCUUAACUCUCGGCUGUGCUAUGUAAUAAUAAUGGAACUGCUCAGACAGCUCAGACAGUGCUUGAGGCCCUGCCAAACCACAUGGAGUGAUGCCAUAAUCAAAUUCGCAAUGUCUUAUCUUCCUCAGAUAAAGUUAUCAUCAAAGGAGUGCUGGCAUGAACAAAGAAAAGAUUCAGGGCACAGACCUACUCUAAUGUAUUGAGCUGUGACACAAAUUGGGCUGUCCUUGUUUGCCUUUCUUCUCUGUUUCUUUUUCCAAUUGGUCUGCCAAAGCAACACUGCUAGUUUGGUUUCACACAUCUAUUUGAGACAACAGACCUUUAAAACAAAUAAAUCUAGAAAGGGUUAAAAUUCAGACUGCAGUAUAUUUUUUCCUUUCCUUCUUUUUCCUUUAAUACAUUCAUUGGCUGACAUUAUAAAGAGUAAAUCCACAGACUAGAGAUUUUCUGUUAAAUCAAUAAA